rnacentral:lncRNA from 1 species
GUUCACUUCAACCCCACGAUCCUAAGCACACCUGUACCUGCCCUGGAAUCCCUCAGCCAUGUUUGUCCCACAGAGCAUCACUAUCAAACAGUUCACUGUGGACUCCUCGUAGCAGAAGUACAGUAGGGGACAGCAAGUGUCAGCUCCAUCAGGACCCCUGAUUUAAUUAUUUACUGUGGAACCAUUGUCCUGAGUCAGGAGGAUAGAUGAGGAAAGAAUGAGAGCGUGGCUGGCAUCGCUUCAUGAUUACAUUCUGGGAAAGAUCUUGCCUGUUAACCUCUAGAGAAGGAGGGACGAUACAGACAAUGAAGACUAUAGCAGACUGAAUUACUCUCUGAGAUGAGGACUUUGCUAUUGCCAUUGCAGAACCACUGGUGGAAGUUGUUGUUAAACAGUGGGUCUUGCAUGCAAGCUCUACAGUUAUGCACAGUAUUUCCAUGACAUCCCAAGCCAUGAGGUUCAUGCUGCCAUAUCCCCCUGUUUAACAAGUGUGGAAACUGAUAAUGGACUCACAAUUGCUGAUGUAUAGGUUCUAAUGUUUUCUAUUGUGGACACGGGACACCCAGACUGAGAACCAAUGGCUCCAGUCUGAUUUAAACAUGGGUCCGUGCUCACACACUCAAUACCUACCCUCUGUGCUCACAAGUCCUGUGUGAGUAAGACUCCAAAUUAUUCUGUCUUGUUUUACUCAAUGGUAUGCUCUACCUUAUUAUAGAGUAUACCAUGUAUUGAGACAAGAAUGCCAGUCAUUCUGAGAAACAAAAUGCAACCAUUAGUUGUCAUUUUAAUUAGUGACGAAUAGUUGUGUCAAUCAUCAAACAUGCUUGUAUAAUUGGAUGAGAAGAGGUGUAACACGGGCCAAUGAUGACGAGGUUUCGGGAUUAUAAGUCACGGACGAUGACUACGUCACUAGAGGUCUGAGGUCCAUAGCAGAAGAUGCCUCAUGUGACCCUCUCAUGCAGGGGUUGCAUGUCAGGCAUGUGCAUACAGUAGAUAUUAGCCAUGCACUCUCACCAUUUCAUAGUAGAUCACAGAAUCAAGAUACAAAUCUCCAUGCACGGAAAGGAUUUAAGGCAUUGAUCAAUCCUGAACAUAAAUAUUUGGCCAUCAAUGAUAUUUACGCACACACUGAAAAAUCUAUUCAGAAUGACUUACACAAAGGUUUAUAUAACCUUUAUCAAAGGUAAUUUAUAUAGUAAGAUUCAUGGCUGAAGUCUUCAUGAUGGUCAAGGCCUUAAUUUUUAAAAUUAUCAAUUUUUUUCUUUUCUUUUUUUUUAACUUGAAUUUUUUUUUAAUGAAAACUAUCAUGACAAUUUGUCUCUUAAAUGAAAGGAGAAAUGUAAAACUAAAUGGACAAAUAUCAACCUUUUUAUUAUCUUUGCUGUUGUGCCCUCCCUGGAUGGGUGCUGGCACAUGAUGUCUUGCCUGCUGGUCCGUGGUUGCACUCUCACCAUGUGGAUGGAGCUCGGCAGCUGAA